rnacentral:rRNA from 1 species
GACGAACGCUGGCGGGGUGCUUAACACAUGCAAGUCGAACGGAAAGGCCCUGCUUUUGUGGGGUGCUCGAGUGGCGAACGGGUGAGUAACACGUGAGUAACCUGCCCUUGACUUUGGGAUAACUUCAGGAAACUGGGGCUAAUACCGGAUAGGAGCUCCUGCUGCAUGGUGGGGGUUGGAAAGUUUCGGCGGUUGGGGAUGGACUCGCGGCUUAUCAGCUUGUUGGUGGGGUAGUGGCUUACCAAGGCCUUGACGGGUAGCCGGCCUGAGAGGGUGACCGGCCACAUUGGGACUGAGAUACGGCCCAGACUCCUACGGGAGGCAGCAGUGGGGAAUAUUGCACAAUGGGCGGAAGCCUGAUGCAGCAACGCCGCGUGCGGGAUGACGGCCUUCGGGUUGUAAACCGCUUUCGCCUGUGACGAAGCGUGAGUGACGGUAAUGGGUAAAGAAGCACCGGCUAACUACGUG